UAGUUGAUGCUAAUCUGUGCUAGCAUGGCUAUGAGACUGAGUUAGGGAGAAGCUGCUAUAUUGUACUGAUUAUACAAAUACUAAGAAAUUAACUAGACUAGAACACCGUUAACAUUCACAGAAAGUGAUCGUCACAAUCACAAUAAUGGCAGCGAUUUCUGUUUGAGGUUCAUGUCGGGUGAAAGAACCACAACUAACAACCGCAGACAGACACAC